UACGUAUGGUGCAAGCGUUAUCCGGAAUUACUGGGUGUAAAGGGAGCGCAGACGGCGGUGCAAGUCUGAAGUGAAAGGCGGGGGCCCAACCCCCGGACUGCUUUGGAAACUGCGUCGCUUGAGUGCCGGAGGGGUAAGUGGAAUUCCUGGUGUAGCGGUGAAAUGCGUAGAUAUUAGGAGGAACACCGGUGGCGAAGGCGGCUUACUGGACGGCAACUGACGUUGAGGCUCGAAGGCGUGGGGAGCAAAC
rnacentral:rRNA from 1 species